rnacentral:piRNA from 1 species
UGAGUUUGAAGAAGGCUUGCCU